rnacentral:rRNA from 1 species
GUCGAGCGAACAGAAAAGGAGCUUGCUCCUUUGACGUUAGCGGCGGACGGGUGAGUAACACGUGGGCAACCUACCCUAUAGUUUGGGAUAACUCCGGGAAACCGGGGCUAAUACCGAAUAAUCUCUUUUGCUUCAUGGUGAAAGACUGAAAGACGGCAUCUCGCUGUCGCUAUAGGAUGGGCCCGCGGCGCAUUAGCUAGUUGGUGAGGUAACGGCUCACCAAGGCGACGAUGCGUAGCCGACCUGAGAGGGUGAUCGGCCACACUGGGACUGAGACACGGCCCAGACUCCUACGGGAGGCAGCAGUAGGGAAUCUUCCACAAUGGGCGAAAGCCUGAUGGAGCAACGCCGCGUGAGUGAAGAAGGUUUUCGGAUCGUAAAACUCUGUUGUAAGGGAAGAACAAGUACAGUAGUAACUGGCUGUACCUUGACGGUACCUUAUUAGAAAGCCACGGCUAACUACGUGCCAGCAGCCGCGGUAAUACGUAGGUGGCAAGCGUUGUCCGGAAUUAUUGGGCGUAAAGCGCGCGCAGGCGGUCCUUUAAGUCUGAUGUGAAAGCCCACGGCUCAACCGUGGAGGGUCAUUGGAAA